rnacentral:rRNA from 1 species
UGGGGAAUAUUGCACAAUGGGCGCAAGCCUGAUGCAGCCAUGCCGCGUGUGUGAAGAAGGCCUUCGGGUUGUAAAGCACUUUCAGCGAGGAGGAAGGUGGUGAACUUAAUACGUUCAUCAAUUGACGUUACUCGCAGAAGAAGCACCGGCUAACUCCGUGCCAGCAGCCGCGGUAAUACGGAGGGUGCAAGCGUUAAUCGGAAUUACUGGGCGUAAAGCGCACGCAGGCGGUUUGUUAAGUCAGAUGUGAAAUCCCCGGGCUCAACCUGGGAACUGCAUUUGAAACUGGCAAGCUAGAGUCUCGUAGAGGGGGGUAGAAUUCCAGGUGUAGCGGUGAAAUGCGUAGAGAUCUGGAGGAAUACCGGUGGCGAAGGCGGCCCCCUGGACGAAGACUGACGCUCAGGUGCGAAAGCGUAGGGAGCAAACAGGAUUAGAUACCCUGGUAGUCCACGCUGUAAAACGAUGUCGAUUUUGGAGGUUGUGCCCUUGAGGCGUGGCUUCCGGAGCUAACGCGUUAAAUCGACCGCCUGGGGAGUACGGCC